GGGACAGGGUACCCAAGUGGCAGGACAAGCCAGCAGCAGAUCAUAACAGUUGGCAUGCUUCCAAGACUCCUUUUAAAAAGAGGAGAUUGAUUUAUAUUUAUUUUAUGUGUGUGCGUGUUUGCCUGCCUGCAUGCAUGUGUACCCAAUGCCUCCAGGGCAUUGGAUCCCUGGAACUGGAGUUACAGGCAGAUGUGAACUGCUGUGUGGAUGCUGAGAAUCAAACCCAGGUCCUCUGCAGAAGUAGCCGGUGCUCUUAACCUCUGAGCCAGCUCUAGCUCUAAGAGUCUUAAUACCUACUGACAACUUGUUCAGUGAAGGAGGUUUGCUCUCUUAAAAGAUGUCAUUUAAGGACCCAAGAUGACUCAGCAGUUAACACAGGCUGCUCUUCCAGAGAAUUUGGAUUUGAUCCCCAGCACCCACAUGGAGGUUAGCAGCUGUCUGUGACUCUAGUCCUAGGGUUCCGACAAUCUCUUCUGGUUUCCCUGGGCACUGCAUUCACAUGGUGCACAGACAUGCAGGCAGGCUAAACACCCAGACAUAUUUUUAAAAAAAGUCAUUUAAGAGGGCUAAACAAUUCUCGGCUUACUUAUUCCCCCACCCCUUAAAAGGGAAAAAGAACCCGUGUAUUCUGUUGACUGAGAUUUCUGUCCUGCCUGGUCCCGCAGUAGUUCAGCCCCAAAGAAACACACAGAAGUCUACAUGAAUUAUAAACUGGUUGACCUAUUAGCUCAGGCUAUUUCUACAUCUUAACCCAUAAUUCUUGUCUGUGUUAGUCAUGUGGCUUGGUACCUUUAUCAGUGAGGCAUUCUCAUCUUGCUUCUGUGUCUGGGUGACAACUACAAACUGAAUCUUUCCUCUUCCCAGAAUUCUCCUGUUCUCAUUGCCCCACCUCUACUUCCUGCCUCCCCCACUUCCCGCAUACUUCCUGCCUGGCUACUGCCCAAUCAGCAUUUUAUUAAACAAGUACAAGAAAUAAAUCUUUACAGGGUAAAACCAUUGUCCCACUGUGUUCUAAACAACUGGAUUCCCACUUCCUCUGGCCUUGUGACUUUUCCUUCUCCGUCCUCACUUCUCCUGAAAAUGGAUUUGUGCUGUAAUAUAUGCAGUCGAUACCAGAAGUUUUCCACUUGGGUCCAUGGAUUGAUGGCUAUCUGAUAACAUUCGAGACAACAUAUUGAAUUCUUUCAAGACAUAAAUGCAAGCAGACAAGAAGCACCCGGGCUCAGCUGACAGCUGUGGAAUCAGACCAGGAAGCAGCUGCACACUCCACCUGUGCUAGCCAGGCACAGCUGCACAGGGAGGCAGCUGGGGGCAGGACACAUGGUACCUGGUGCUCCAGAUGGGAGGACGGUGAAUCAUAUCCAGGACCCAGGACGAGAAGACCCCAAAGAUGCUGACAUCAGAAGGGACAGAGUCCAGUGACCUAAACACGACACCCACAGCCCUCAAGCCACAAGCACUGUGAUACCAGUGAGCGGGUUUGUGCCACACCCUGACACAGGGUCAGACGGCGAGGACUGUUCACGCCCUGCUAGGAACCUUGCCCCUUUACGAGUGCACAUUAAUUUCCAAGCUAAUUUCCCCUUUUGCUUUAUUUUUGCUGUUGUAGCUGAAGGGAUACCUCCCUGCCUGUGUUUCCUAGCUGAUAACUGGAUAUGUCUGAGUGAAAGUUAUUGCAUUUUUUUUUCCCGUUAUACUUUCCGCUACUCCAUCCAGAUUUUUUUAUCCCUUCUAAAAUUUUUCAGGUCAAUACAACUUGCAGCUUAUGACCACUGCAUCCCCUCUUCCUUUUUUACAGUCUUUCUUUUGGUUUUCUGCUUUGGGCCCACAUUUCAGGAGAGUGUGAAUUCCUAGGGGACUGAGCAGCAUUCUUGCCAGUCCUUGGCUUUCAAAAGAUUGCUCUGUGUGUCUGAAGUUGGUUCGGGGGGAUUUUUAUUGUAUGAAAGGAAUAUUCUACUCCCUCCCGCCAAUGCAUUAGGCUGAAAAAAAUACCUCCAGUGCCCAUUUUUUAAGUGGGUUGAUUAGAGGUAGUGAGAUCAUGAGAAAACACAGGCUUUCUGAGAUCUUUCCCCAUUAGACAGCAUCCCAGUACACCCUCCCUCUCCAGCUUUACCCCUGCAGUCCCCGCAGGCUCCCCUGGGAUAGGGAGGUCAUUCUUAUCUCUUUUCAGUCAAAAUGUGGACCCUGGACUAGCAGCUUUAGACUCACCAGGGAGCUUAUUAGAAGUGCAGACUCUCUGACGCCUUCAGACCUGGUGAAUCACAGUCUGUCACUGGACAAAACACCUGUGGUCACUUGAAUGAAAACGGCCCCAUAGGCUCUCAGGGACUGGGGCUACUGGGAGGCGUGCCCUUGUUGGGGAAAGUGUAUCACUUUCAUUGAGGACUUUGAGGUUUUGAGGUCUCCAAAGCUCAACCCAGGCUAGCCUGUCUCCUCUUGCUGUUGCCUGUGGAUCCAGACGUGGAACUUUUAGCUACCUCUCCAACACCAUGUCUGCCUGUGUGCCACCAUGCUUCCCACCAUGAUGAUAAUAAACUAAACUUCCAAAAUGUAAAUCAGCCCCGAUUAAAUGUUUUCCUUUAGAAGA